UACAGAGGUGGCAAGCGUUGUUCGGAAUUACUGGGCGUAAAGGGCGCGUAGGCGGUUCAGUAAGUCCCGCGUGAAAGCCCUCGGCUCAACUGGGGAACUGCGCGGGAAACUAUUGGACUUGAGUUCGGGAGAGGGAAGUGGAAUUCCGGGUGUAGCGGUGAAAUGCGUAGAUAUCCGGAGGAACACCGGUGGCGAAGGCGGCUUCCUGGACCGAUACUGACGCUGAGGCGCGAAAGCUAGGGGAGCAAACGGG
rnacentral:rRNA from 1 species